UAGUCUUCAUUAAAGGUACAUGUUUUGAUUAGAAAUUUAUGAAUUGGGUAACACUGAUUAGUUCUGUUCAGUUUCAGAGCAAAAAAUUGAAGGCUUUAUUUGAAUCGAUAUUUCCCUUUUAUGCUGUAUAUAAAUCUUUGUCUUGUAUGCUCAAAUGGGCUUUCAUAAACCAGGUUACUAGAAAGUUUACGGCUUUUGUUAUUUACUAGAUGAUAUAUACUUGUGGAGAUGAAAUGAGACGUAGCUAGGCACUUGUUCUCGAGUAUAAAAGAUCAGCACUUGGUAUGAUAAAUUUUUCCCUUGAAAACAAACGAGGGCUAGUUUUAUCUACUGAAGUUAAUGACCGUUCCUUGAUGGUAUUUGAUGUCAUCGUUGUGGAAAGACUGGGAGCUAGGCUUAUUUUAUAAUAACAUUUAACUCAGCAUUAGCUGAAGUUAGUUGGAGCUGGCUCAAAUCUUUAACAUGGAUCAUUCUUGUAGUAAUGUGACUAGCUUUAAGUUGGCUGUGAUUCCUGCAACUUCUUCCUUUAUUUGCUGUGUCAGCGAAGGUUGAGUUAGGAAUUAAGAUUACUCCGUAACACCAUAUAUAGUUUCUGAAUAAUAGAAGAGAUGGGAUUGAUGCUUAAAUAAGGAUGAACAACUCGCUGGUCAGAUAACAUCUCUUUCUCUUGCCUUUUACAUUUUUUUUUGGAAGAAAUGUUCUUCUGUUUUGUUCUGCAGUUUUGCUUUAUAAAAUUUUUUCAUCAGCAUGUCAUAUUUGAAUUGGUGUGAACAAUUGUUCAUUUAAUGCUUUUCAUGACUAUUCACAAACUUUGCAGAGACUGACCAUUUGUCUGAAGGCUUUCUCUCUGGUUGAUGUAGGAUUGGCAUUAUCGACAUCUGAGGGAAGUUUGAAGAAGGCAUUUUCACAGUUUGGGGAACCAAAAUUGUGACAGAUAAAAAAACUAAGCAAUCUUUAGGGUCUGCAUUUGUUUGGUUUACCAGUGAAGAGUCUGCCAAGCUGGCUGUGAAGGAAAUGGACGGAAAGUUUUUUGAAGGGAGGUUUAUUUAUGUUACAAUUUCAAAGCCUGGCGCAUGCAAAACUUCAGGGAGGCCAACACCAUACAAGUUCUGAUAUGAAGUAACUUGCAGCAUUCCGUUUCUUCUUCCCAGGUCCAAGAAGUGGGCAUGUUCUCAGAGUGUAUCCUUCAAGAAUAAGAUAGGCACCUAAUGUUCAUUUGAUUAAAUGAUUAUAUUCUCAAGAAAGCUUGUUUUCAAAGAGGAUCAAACUCAGCUAGCUGCUGAUGCCUUUUAUUGUGAAAAUUUUCCAUUUUAACAUGUUUUAACCUAGUGUUCGACUGUACAGUGAAAACCUAAGUUUAGGCAGAUGCAUCACGUGCAAAUUUGCAAUCUGUAGUUUGUGAUGGAAACAUGUUUAAGGCAAGAUAUACACAUUUACCUGCUGAUGAGGCCUUAAGUCUAGUGAUAAAAUUAGCUAAGGUUGAGGUGCUGGAAGUAAGAGCUCUCAAGUUCAAGUCCCAUCCACCAGUAUUGGGUUAGUUAUGUUUUCAUAUUAUUUGUGUUUUGAUCAAUUUACAUAACAAGUGUGUUUUGACUUGAAUCAAUUCUAAUUCUAGCAUGGCUAUGAUGUGUCUUGUUCUCCUAUCUAUCGGCAAAAAAAGAAAAGUAUGUUCAAUGCCAUGCUGGGCUUGGGCUGGAACCAAUCAGGCUUGAAGUUUUCUAUUGAGCCUACCCCAUCUCAUGUGGCAAGGGAGCUUAAACUUAAGAGCCCAAGGGUGAAUUUAUAGAGCGUGAGGGGUGUAAACAAAUCGGGUCAAGCCAAGUUUUAAAGAGUUUACACUUUGUUCAUAAAAAAUUUUUUUUUUGAUCUUGGGCCGAAUUUGAGUUCAACUCGUGUGGAGCUCGAGUCGAAAAUCAACAAGUUCAAGUUUGGUUUAUUUAGAAAACAAGUCACAAAAGAGAUGAGCUUUAUCAAACCAAGUCUCAAGCAGCUUAUCAGUAGCUCAACUCGUUUACAGCGCUAGUGAAUUUUAGAUCUAGGAGGUGUUUGAUACGAUAUUAAUGAGUAAUUGUUACUUUUGUAGUUUUACCCUUUAUUAAUGAUGUUUGGAUGCUUAAAAAUAUUAAGUUAAAUUUUCA
rnacentral:misc_RNA from 1 species